ensembl:lncRNA
AGGUAGAGGAGUGGAGUGUGUAAAGACGCCAAGGUGGACAAGAGAAGGGCACCUGGAAGAACCACAAGGAACCAAUUUGGGUGGAGUCGUGAACGAUGGGAAUGUGCCAGUCAUGCAGGGAGUAAGCUGUCCUGCAAUGUAGGGAGGCAGUGCACUCUCUGUGGAAAAGGAUCUUGGUUUCCUGUUCAUGAGUGGGGCUAAGAGAAGUCACUCUAGCCUUCAACUGCAUCUGGAGGAUUCUUUACCACUAGUCCCAGCUGGGAAGGAUUCUUCACCACUGAGCCACCAGGAAAGCCCUUUGGGAGAACCGAGGCCUCAAGAAGCUAAGAAGUCUGCCCAAAGGCUCACAACUAUUAAAGGACAGAGCUAGGAUCUGGCAAAGAGCCCUAAUGUAAUAAGUAUGGUCCUAUGGCUGAACUUCACCCCUGACUCAACUCCCAGGAGAUGUUAGCUUUCAAAGGCCCGGUUCCCAGAAAACCUUCCACCAUCCUGGCAUCUAGGAAGCUGCCUCCGUCUCUUAUACAAAACACUACUGUGCCCACCUGAUCCCACUUUUUUUUUCAGUCUCCAAAAACGUGAUCGUCUCUCAUGAUGCCAAUUAUGCAGAAACAAUGGACUUCUGCUCAAUAGUUAACUAUUCACCAUGUAUGAAAGAAAAUCCUGGAAUGUUUACUUCAAAUAUGAAAGUGCCGGCUCAAAGGAAAACUCUUUUAAUAAUUCUCUGGAGUAGGGGAAGAGUUCUAGAGGAAGCCUUCUUGCAACUUUAACCAAAAUGUCGUGGAUUGUGUAUACGAUAAGAGCAGAAUGUCUUGAUCCCAGGAGAAUACACAGAAACAGAGGAGGUAAUUGGAUUAAUCAUUUUGACACCUGAAAGGAUGACAAGAAACUUUUAACCUACCAAUAAUCAGCGGAGGGAGCUGUCAUUGUAGAUGGCUCAGCCAAACUAUGGGGUAUCAUCACAUUAGCUAACUGCCUGGCCAAUUAGAGACGUGUAAUUCUUUCAUAUACUUAGCUUGAAAGUGAAGAUGAUUCAAAACAGUUUCCUUGUCUCUGACACGUAUCCAAAUUUUUAAUAACAGCUAAGCCCUUUAC